rnacentral:rRNA from 1 species
CCUCCGUAGGUGAAAACUGCGGAAGGAUCAUUACCUAGAGUUGUAGGCUUUGCCUGCUAUCUCUUACCCAUGUCUUUUGAGUACCUUCGUCUUCCUCGGCGGGACCGCCCGCCGAUUGGACACAUUUAAACCCUUUGUAGUUGCAAUCAGCGUCUGAAAAACUUUAAUAGUUACAACUUUCAACAACGGAUCUCUUGGUUCUGGCAUCGAUGAAGAACGCAGCGAAAUGCGAUAAGUAGUGUGAAUUGCAGAAUUCAGUGAAUCAUCGAAUCUUUGAACGCACAUUGCGCCCCUUGGUAUUCCAUGGGGCAUGCCUGUUCGAGCGUCAUUUGUACCUUCAAGCUUUGCUUGGUGUUGGGUGUUUGUCUCGCCUCUGCGCGCAGACUCGCCUCAAAACAAUUGGCAGCCGGCGUAUUGAUUUCGGAGCGCAGUACAUCUCGCGCUUUGCACUCAUAACGACGACGUCCAAAAAGUACAUUUUUUACACUCUUGACCUCGGAUCAGGUAGGGAUACCCGCUGAACUAG